GGAGCCAGCACUUUGGGCGGGAAAAGAAAAGGAGCCGUUUCUGAGGGAGUUUUUAGUCAGGGACAGAGAAGGGAAAAGAGCAAAUUAUUGAUCAUUAUUAUGAUUAUUAUUUUAUCAUUUAUAGCCCUCCCAUCCGGCUGGGCUCCCCCAGCCACUCUGGGCAGCUUCCAGCUCAUAUAAAGCUAUAAUAAAACGUCGACCCUGAAAAGCGAAGCUUCCCCAAAGAGGGCCUUAAAGUGAGACAGGGCUCCUUUGGAGAGAUAGAGGCAGAAAGAGGGAUCUGGAGAGGCCUGGACUGAGGGAGAAGUGGCUCUGGAUGGAGCCUCUCAGGAGAAUCUGGUCUCUGGCCAGAGGAAGAGCCGGUGGAGCCUCUGGGGAAGGCAGGCAGACAGGCAGGCGGAUAGACGGACAGGCGUCACAUGGGGGGCUGAGUCUGGGACAGGAGAGGGAGAAGCCGGGGGAAGACCCUCUGAACCAGAGCUGCCCACUUUCAGAUUGGAAAAGAAGGGAUCAGCAGCCUCCCCUGUCCCAGGGACAGUCGACGGGAUAUCUAACAAUCCGGGAUCGCAGCCGGAAGCGGCACUGGAAUAAGGGAAUUUCCCUCCAAAAAAGGGGAGGUUGACAGCUAUGGUCUGACCGGGGUCUCCUUCUUCCCGUCAGGAGGGGAGAGGUCUUCCCAAAGGAGAAGGGGAUCCCGAGGUCGGUGAUCUUAUUUGGAAAGACCUCCGCAGUGGAUUUGCUAAGAGAGCCGGGUCAAGGACGAAAAGCUCCCUUCUCUGGAGGCAAAGAAUGAGGCGGCGCCCAAAGCUUUUCACGGAAAUGCUUGCCAUUACUGUAGCCUUUCCAGGCCUUUUAAACCAUGGGUAG